rnacentral:sRNA from 1 species
UUUUUUUUGGUUUUUCUCU